rnacentral:rRNA from 1 species
AUUGAACGCUGGCGGCAGGCCUAACACAUGCAAGUCGAGCGGGGUUUUCGGACCUAGCGGCGGACGGGUGAGUAAUGCGUAGGAAGCUACCCGAUAGAGGGGGAUACCAGUUGGAAACGACUGUUAAUACCGCAUAAUGUCUACGGACCAAAGUGUGGGACCUUCGGGCCACAUGCUAUCGGAUGCGCCUACGUGGGAUUAGCUAGUUGGUGGGGUAAUGGCUCACCAAGGCGACGAUCCCUAGCUGGUUUGAGAGGAUGAUCAGCCACACUGGAACUGAGACACGGUCCAGACUCCUACGGGAGGCAGCAGUGGGGAAUAUUGGACAAUGGGCGCAAGCCUGAUCCAGCCAUGCCACGUGUGUGAAGAAGGCCUUCGGGUUGUAAAGCACUUUCAGUAGGGAGGAAGCGUUGUGUGUUAAUAGUACACAGCGUUGACGUUACCUACAGAAGAAGCACCGGCUAACUCUGUGCCAGCCGCCGCUGUAACAC